CACGGACCUCUGGGUAAAGCCUCUCGAAUCCUUGGGGAGGUAGUGGGGAAGAAUAUGCAAAGAAGGAAGAAUCCCUCCCCUGUGGACAGACAUCUCUGCAAUGCUUCCAGAAUGGGAAGCAACCAGAGAUGUGCUGCUCCCCGCACCCUGCGGCUCAGCUCCAGCACAGCCCUGCGGGGAACCCUGAAAUUGGAGCUGUCUGAGCAAAUUCAGGACACUGGAGGUAAAACCAGAAUGAAGCAUCAGGGCAGGAGCAAAAGAAAAACAAGUUCUCCACACCCUCUGAGCUGAGGAGGCUGGGAAUGGAGGUGGGUUAAUACUCCCAGAGUGGAGUGUCAUCCCAAGCUCCACAUCAACUAGAGCAAAACUUGACUCAGUGUUUAACCCAGCUAAACCCUGGCUGUGGACUGAGUCAUUAGGAGAACCAGGAAUUGCCUGCCAAAACCCCAAACCACACUUCUCAAACUCCAGGAGUUAUAUAUAUAUAUAUAUAUAUAUAUUUAUAUAUAUAUUUUAACUGUUGCCUCUGCCUGUUGCCAGUGCAGCUCCACGACACACAAAGCUUUCAUGGAUCACACUGAGCCAAGGACACCCAUACAUCUCUGCAAUUUUAUUGGGUUCUGAAGAAAACCAAAUCUUUGCAAACAGAGGGAUCUAUUUCAGUGAAAUAUCUCUAAAACCCUGGGGUUUUAGGUGUUGUAGUAAGGAGGGUUGGGCUUGACUGAGAGACAAAUCAUACUUUGAAGGAUGCGGGACGAUGGGGACGUCACUGCUUCUGUCUCCUGAAAAUAGGUUUGUCUGUUUCUAAAGGAAUGCUGGGAGCCCCUGAAAAUGAUCAGGAAAGGUUGCAGGAGUAAGGGAGGGUGAUAGUGGAGGAGGCAGAAUCAAAAUUUAUUCAGAAUGUGCUGACAUUUUGCUGUUGAUAUCAGGACAAAGCCUGGCUCAAGCACUGAUGUUUCCCAGAUGUACAGAGGUGACAGCAAAAAGCUGAGAAGGAGAAGAUCUGGUGAAAGAGCACUCACAGCAGUGAGCUGCUCCCCAUCCAUACCUGGGACAGGAGGAAACCAGGGAAGGGAUGAACUACCAGAGCUCUGUGAUACAAAAUACAGCAGGAAAGAACUGAGAAGAACCUAAGCUGAGAGAAAGGAAACUGGAGGUUCUUUAUUGCAGGAGUAGGGUGGUGUCAGCAGGGCACAGGGAUCUCUUGAGCUCCAACCAACACACAAAUGGCCUGUGGCUUCUGUGUGGGACUUUGAGGGACCCAGGUUGGCUCCAGGCUCCCAGUGAGAUC
rnacentral:lncRNA from 1 species